rnacentral:rRNA from 1 species
UACGUAGGGUGCAGGCGUUAAUCGGAAUUACUGGGCGUAAAGCGUGCGCAGGCGGUUUGCUAAGACAGGUGUGAAAUCCCCGGGCUUAACCUGGGAACUGCGCUUGUAACUGGCAAGCUGGAGUGUGGCAGAGGGGGGUGGAAUUCCGCGUGUAGCAGUGAAAUGCGUAGAUAUCUGGAGGAACACCGGUGGCGAAGGCGGCAUCCUGGACCGACACUGACGCUGAGGAGCGAAAGCCAGGGGAGCAAACGGG